GAUUUUCCUGCCUACUGAUUUAAAAUUGAAUUCUCUUAUUUAAUGUCAUUGACAUUUUAGACCCAUAAAAUGAUUCUAUUUGUAGUAACAGCAAAAUAGCAAGAAACGACACAGCGGACGCCUGGUCUGACCACAGGAACAGGAUUUUUCUGCUGCUCUCGGCAGCUUUGCCGCUUCUGACGCUGGUUUUGGUGAUCUGGAGGAUUAUACAAAAAUACAAUUUGCCCACACAAGGACGAGACAUCUGUUCUGAGACAGAAGGUCUUGUGAUGUAUGACACAGUGGUCUUCAAGAAAGGAAAGAACAAUGAACAAAACCAGGUCUCAAUUAGCCGUCCUCCUGACCAAGAAGAAGUGAUUUACAGCGCUGUGAAACUUCACUAAUAACAGAUGAUCUCUGACACACUGGCAAUUCAUAUUAAUCAUAUUACAAUCUGAAGUAAUGGCAUAUUCGUCUGUUUUACGUCAUGUAAAGUUUCCUUUAAAGCCACAAAGGAGGUGAGAAAGAAAAAGAGGAAUUUCCAGCACAGGUUUUAAUGUGUUGUUGGCAGAUUGAGAGGUCAUGGUUGUGUCAGAUUAUCAUUUUACUAUUAAAGAGUUUUGCCACAACUGCAAAAUGCAAGUGUGAAAGUGUUACCUGUUUAUUAGCAUGUAGGUUUCUUCUGCUUUUCUACUUUUAUUCUUAAUCAAUGUGAGAAGUAAAACUUAAACACUUCAUGACCACAUCAGAGAGCAACACAAUCAGUUUCGGGUCAACUUAACAUUUGUUACACCACUUCAGAAAAACCUGAAAAUACACCCAUUUGAAAUCUAAUUUCA